rnacentral:lncRNA from 1 species
GACAAAACCCACUUUCACAUCUUUCUGGCUAAGGUCUUGCUUUGGCUUUCUUUGCUUCACAAUAGAGUCAUUGACCCACGCUGGAGUCUGUGGGUGGGACCACAAACAGGAACAUUCACACGACAGAACAAACAUUUCUCCGUGCAAACUGGGAUCCCUGCACUUUCAACUUAAGGGCUUGCUGAUGAACGACCAGGACUUCGGGGUGAUUAGCCCCAACCCUCCACCAAAUGACUGUGUUUGCUUCCUUUCAUAUUUUGACCCCGUGCUUUUUGGCUAAAGUAUAAAAGAAGAGAAAUCUGAAAUGUGUUCUCAAACGUUCAAAGCUCCAAUUGCUGCAGAAGAGAAUUUAAAACAAACCCCCCUUGGACUCUCGGCAGGAGUGGACAGCAGUAUCUCUGCUUAGAAGUCUGCAGGUGAAGGACAGGCUGAGCCAGAGGAAAUCUGUUUCUCAUUAGAAUUCUUGGCGGAGCAUUUUCAGGCUCAUCUGGAAAAGAGAUGAGGAGAAGGGCUGCCAGUGAGAUGGGGAAAAUCAAUAACAACAGCAAUGAAAAUACAAAACCAAACCAAAGCUGAGGCCCAGAGAGAAGAGGUGAACUUACACAGUUUCACAGCCACUGGGAGUCGGAGCUGAGAUGAGGAAUCUGAUUCCUGUCUCCCACAGUGUGCUGGAAAUCAGAGCACCCCCCAGACCUCACCACGUUCUCUUUCCUGGAUGUGCCAGGUCCUAGGGUAAAUGCUGCUUCCGCCCAGAAACCCUCCCCGACCCAAACCCACCCUCAAGUCAGGCCUCCCUGUUGGCGCUCUAUGCACGUUUUCUUUGUGGCACUUACCUGAUUUUAAUCAAGCUUUGUGUAAUUAUUUGCUUAAAGCUCCCUCUCCAGCAAGACUGUAAGCCCCCUGAGACAGAAACUGUGUCCUGUCUUGUUCAUCAUUGUAUCUACACCACACUGCACAGUGUCUAGUCCAUGAUGGGCCCAAAAAAAAUAUAUUGUGAAAUAAAUGAACAAAUGAAUGAAAAAUUGCCCAAUGCAGUGGUGAAGGCUGAACAUAC